rnacentral:rRNA from 1 species
UACGUAGGGGGCAAGCGUUGUCCGGAAUCAUUGGGCGUAAAGAGCGUGUAGGCGGCCCGAUAAGUCCGCCGUGAAAGUCCAGGGCUCAACCCUGGAAUGCCGGUGGAAACUGUCGGGCUGGAGUCCGGAAGAGGCGAGUGGAAUCCCUGGUGUAGCGGUGAAAUGCGCAGAUAUCAGGAGGAACACCAAUGGCGAAGGCAGCUCGCUGGGACGGUACUGACGCUGAGACGCGAAAGCGUGGGGAGCAAACAGG